rnacentral:rRNA from 1 species
GAUGAACGCUAGCUACAGGCUUAACACAUGCAAGUCGCAGGGUAACAUGAGGAAAGCUUGCUUUCCUUGAUGACGACUGGCGCACGGGUGAGUAACGCGUAUCCAACCUUCCCAUAACUACGGGAUAACCCGUUGAAAGACGGCCUAAUACCGUAUGAUAUCGUUUGCUGACAUCAAAUAACGAUUAAAGGUUUAGCGGUUAUGGAUGGGGAUGCGUCUGAUUAGCUUGUUGGCGGGGUAACGGCCCACCAAGGCGACGAUCAGUAGGGGUUCUGAGAGGAAGGUCCCCCACAUUGGAACUGAGACACGGUCCAAACUCCUACGGGAGGCAGCAGUGAGGAAUAUUGGUCAAUGGGCGAGAGCCUGAACCAGCCAAGUAGCGUGCAGGACGACGGCCCUAGGGGUUGUAAACUGCUUUUAUGUGGGGAUAAAGUGCGUGACGUGUCAUGCAUUGCAGGUACCACAUGAAUAAGGACCGGCUAAUUCCGUG